GCGCGUUCAUGAGUACCCUACACGUUCACGUUUGGCAGCUCCACGUCGACAUUCCUUUAGCGACGGGAGAGAGGGGGUCCAGCGAUACAUUCAGUCUGUUUCGAGGCACAGCCAGGAGAGCCACCGGUCAACCGUAAGGAGCCUCAGAAGCUGAUUGGUCCUGAGUGGGCUACCAUCUCAACCAAGGCAACUGCAAGCAAACUGACUGAAGCCCGAAUGACGGCUGUAAACGUCUGACACGUUUUAAAGACAAUUCUACAAUUCAAAAACACGAAAAUGUAUUCACAGGCUUCCUCCGCCAAAGUCGCAUUCCCACACAUGCACAUAUGGACACACUUACACAGAGAAACACACACACUCAACCAUGGCUCCUCGGGGAAAGUUCUGUGGUCCACUCUGGCUGUGUGAGUGUGUGGUCAGUGCAUUACAGAACUUUGCUUUAGAAGCUCCACCCGUCAAAUCCGUAUUGAUCCCUGAGAAAAUAAAGGCUUGGUUUUAUGAGUUUCAUGACUGGUUUGAAGUAUAUACUGUAAAAUGGAAUUAUAUGUUUUUUGUUAAUCUAAUUUUGUUAGUAUUUUAGAUGUUGACUUCAGAUGAACUUUUCAGAUCUGUUAACCGAAUUCCUCUACUCCUACUGGUAUUCAUAGAAAUAUAUAAUGAUUAUGUAGGCUAUAUUUAGAAAUUGAAAACAGCAUAAUGAAAAAUAUACAAAAAUGAGAUGGAGUUAUUAAAAUGAACAAUAGAAUUUUUUGAUGAUAUAAUAAUUCAAAUUACCUCCAUGGUUAACAGCUUGCAGAUUUUGGAACUUACUAAAUCUUCUAAUGUUUUGAACAAAGUGUUUUUGUUUUUCUUCUUUACCCUGUCAAGCAUAUUUCACAAGUGUGAAAGUAUACCAUUUUGUAUUCUUGGCAUGUAAAUUCUGUUGGAACUCACAAUGGUUUAUAUUGCUAAGUGCUGCUGGAACAAAACCGUUUACGGAAAGUUAUACUUGUGUGAGUGUAUUUUAUUUGAAGAAGCCAGUCAGUCUCUCAUUGUUGAAUGCAUGGCGCAUAAUGUAUUUAAGAGUGGCUAAACUCUCACUGUUUUACUCUAUUCUGCUGACUAUUAGUGUUAUUUUUUGAAGCUCUAAAAGGGAUAGUUCACCCAAAAAUGAUAAUUCUGUCAUCGUUUCCUCCGCCUCAAGUAGUUCCAAAACUGUAUAAAUUUCUUUGUUCUGCUGAACACAAAGGAAGAUAUUUGGAAGAAUGUUUGUAACCAAGUGGAUAUCAUCCACCAUUGACUACCAUAACAGGGGAAAAAAAUAAUAAUACUAUGGAAGUCAAUGACUACCGUCAAAUGUCUGGUUACCAACAUUCUUCCAAAUAUCUCCUUUUGUGUUCAACAGCUCAAAUGAUGACAGAAUUUUCAUUUUUGAGUGAAUUAUCCCUUUAAGUGACAUAAAAAGUUGCAGUUAUUAAGUAUUUUGCAUUUUAUCCAGUAUGUCAUAUUUGGAUGCAAAAUUCACUAACAACCAAUAAACAUCAUUUUGUAAUUUCAACAA